rnacentral:rRNA from 1 species
UACGUAGGGUGCAAGCGUUGUCCGGAAUUAUUGGGCGUAAAGAGCUCGUAGGCGGUCUGUCGCGUCUGCUGUGAAAUCUCAGGGCUUAACCCUGAGCUUGCAGUGGGUACGGGCAGACUAGAGUGCGGUAGGGGAGACUGGAAUUCCUGGUGUAGCGGUGAAAUGCGCAGAUAUCAGGAGGAACACCGGUGGCGAAGGCGGGUCUCUGGGCCGUAACUGAACGCUGGAGGAGCGGAAAGCAUGGGGAGCGAACAGG